UCCCUGGUGGCUCAGCUGGUAAAGAAUCUGCCUGCAAUGCAGGGGACCUAGGUUCGAUCCCUGGGUUGGGAA
rnacentral:tRNA from 1 species